rnacentral:rRNA from 1 species
CCCAGACAGCCAGGAUGUUGGCUUAGAAGCAGCCAUCAUUUAAAGAAAGCGUAAUAGCUCACUGGUCGAGUCGGCCUGCGCGGAAGAUGUAACGGGGCUAAACCAUGCACCGAAGCUGCGGCAGCGAACGUAUCACUUAAAGCGAUUCAGCGGGUUACGAUUGACGGAGCGAAGCGACGUCAAAGCGUAUACAAAGUCGAGUCGGUUUAAGGAUACGUUCGUUGGGUAGGGGAGCGUUCUGUAAGCCUGUGAAGGUGUGCUGUGAGGCAUGCUGGAGGUAUCAGAAGUGCGAAUGCUGACAUAAGUAACGAUAAAGCGGGUGAAAAGCCCGCUCGCCGGAAGACCAA